rnacentral:rRNA from 1 species
CGCAUCUGUGCAUGCAGCAUAUCAAUAAGCGGAGGAAAAGAAACUAACAAGGAUUCCCUCAGUAACGGCGAGUGAAGCGGGAAGAGCUCAAAUUUGAAAUCUUGAAAGGUCACCUUUCACGAAUUGUAGUUUAAAGAAGUGUUUUCUGUUACGAUCGUAAUAUAAGUUCUUUGGAAUAGGACAUCACAGAGGGUGAGAAUCCCGUCUAUGAUUGCGAUUUGUAGCUUUGUGAUACACUUUCAAAGAGUCGGGUUGUUUGGGAAUGCAGCCCAAAACGGGAGGUAAAUUUCUUCUAAGGCUAAAUAUUGGCGAGAGACCGAUAGCGAACAAGUACCGUGAGGGAAAGAUGAAAAGAACUUUGAAAAGAGAGUUAAAUAGUACGUGAAAUUGUCAAAAGGGAAGCGUUUAACACCAGUGUUGUUUUCUGAAAAUCAACCUCUGUUAGCUUUAUGCAUGUUUGUUUAGACCUAAUCAGCUAUCUUGCAUGUUCUAUUGUUUGCAGUGGUGCACUUUUCAGUUUACAGGUCAACAUCAGUUUUUUUUACCGUAAAAAAGUUAAAGAAAGGUAGCUCAUGGCUCCGGUCGUGAGUGUUAUAGUCUUUUUCCUAUGCGGUAGGAGAGACUGAGGUCUGCAGUGUAGGCUAUUUGGCUAGAUACUCAGGUGCUAUGUCGAUACCAUUUCAUAAACAACUUGUUGAUUAUGUUUUGUCUAUUGCAUACUCGCUUGUACUAUCAUACCUACGCUAGGAUGUUGAAGUCAUCGUAUCGCGC